AGAGUUUGAUCCUGGCUCAGAUUGAACGCUGGCGGCAUGCCUUACACAUGCAAGUCGAACGGCAGCACGGGAGCAAUCCUGGUGGCGAGUGGCGAACGGGUGAGUAAUACAUCGGAACGUGCCCAGUCGUGGGGGAUAACGUAGCGAAAGCUACGCUAAUACCGCAUACGAUCUGUGGAUGAAAGCGGGGGACCGUAAGGCCUCGCGCGAUUGGAGCGGCCGAUGUCAGAUUAGGUAGUUGGUAGGGUAAAGGCCUACCAAGCCGACGAUCUGUAGCUGGUCUGAGAGGACGACCAGCCACACUGGGACUGAGACACGGCCCAGACUCCUACGGGAGGCAGCAGUGGGGAAUUUUGGACAAUGGGCGCAAGCCUGAUCCAGCAAUGCCGCGUGCAGGAUGAAGGCCUUCGGGUUGUAAACUGCUUUUGUACGGAACGAAACGGCUCUUUCUAAUACAGGGGGCUAAUGACAGUACCGUAAGAAUAAGCACCGGCUAACUACGUGCCAGCAGCCGCAGUAAUACGUAGGGCGCGAGCGUUAAUCGGAAUUACUGGGCGUAAAGCGUGCGCAGGCGGUUAUGUAAGACAGAUGUGAAAUCCCCGGGCUCAACCUGGGACCUGCAUUUGUGACUGCAUAGCUAGAGUACGGUAGAGGGGGAUGGAAUUCCGCGUGUAGCAGUGAAAUGCGUAGAUAUGCGGAGGAACGCCGAUGGCGAAGGCAAUCCCCUGGACCUGUACUGACGCUCAUGCACGAAAGCGUGGGGAGCAAACAGGAUUAGAUACCCUGGUAGUCCACGCCCUAAACGAUGUCAACUGGUUGUUGGGUCUUCACUGACUCAGUAACGAAGCUAACGCGUGAAGUUGACCGCCUGGGGAGUACGGUCGCAAGGUUGAAACUCAAAGGAAUUGACGGGGACCCACACAAGCGGUGGAUGAUGUGGUUUAAUUCGAUGCAACGCGAAAAACCUUACCCACCUUUGACAUGUACGGAAUUUGCCAGAGAUGGCUUAGUGCUCGAAAGAGAGCCGUAACACAGGUGCUGCAUGGCUGUCGUCAGCUCGUGUCGUGAGAUGUUGGGUUAAGUCCCGCAACGAGCGCAACCCUUGUCAUUAGUUGCUACGAAAGGGCACUCUAAUGAGACUGCCGGUGACAAACCGGAGGAAGGUGGGGAUGACAUCAAGUCCUCAUGGCCCUUAUAGGUGGGGCUACACACGUCAUACAAUGGCUGGUACAGAGGGUUGCCAACCCGCGAGGGGGAGCUAAUCCCAUAAAACCAGUCGUAGUCCGGAUCGCAGUCUGCAACUCGACUGCGUGAAGUCGGAAUCGCUAGUAAUCGCGGAUCAGAAUGUCGCGGUGAAUACGUUCCCGGGUCUUGUACACACCGCCCGUCACACCAUGGGAGCGGGUUCUGCCAGAAGUAGUUAGCCUAACCGCAAGGAGGGCGAUUACCACGGCAGGGUUCGUGACUGGGGUGAAGUCGUAACAAGGUA
rnacentral:rRNA from 1 species